UAGCAGGGUCUGACACACACCAGGC
rnacentral:piRNA from 1 species